rnacentral:rRNA from 1 species
UAGGGAAUCUUCGGCAAUGGACGAAAGUCUGACCGAGCAACGCCGCGUGAGUGAAGAAGGUUUUCGGAUCGUAAAACUCUGUUGUUAGAGAAGAACAAGGACGUUUGUAACUGAACGUCCCCUGACGGUAUCUAACCAGAAAGCAACGGCUAACUACGUGCCAGCAGCCGCGGUAAUACGUAGGUGGCAAGCGUUGUCCGGAUUUAUUGGGAGUAAAGCGAGCGCAGGCGGUUUCUUAAGUCUGAUGUGAAAGUCCCCGGCUCAACCGGGGAGGGUAAUUGGAAACUGGGAGACUUGAGUGCAGAAGAGGAGAGUGGAAUUCCAUGUGUAGCGGUGAAAUGCGUAGAUAUAUGGAGGAACACCAGUGGCGAAGGCGGCUCUCUGGUCUGUAACUGACGCUUAGGCUCGAAAGCGUGGGGAGCAAACAGG